AGAGUUUGAUCCUGGCUCAGGAUGAACGCUGGCGGCGUGCCUAAUACAUGCAAGUCGAGCGAACCACUUCGGUGGUGAGCGGCGAACGGGUGAGUAACACGUAGGUGAUCUGCCCAUCAGACGGGGACAACGAUUGGAAACGAUCGCUAAUACCGGAUAGGACGAAAGUUUAAAGGUGCUUCUGGCACCGCUGAUGGAUGAGCCUGCGGCGCAUUAGCUAGUUGGUAGGGUAAAGGCCUACCAAGGCGACGAUGCGUAGCCGACCUGAGAGGGUGAACGGCCACACUGGGACUGAGACACGGCCCAGACUCCUACGGGAGGCAGCAGUAGGGAAUCUUCGGCAAUGGGCGAAAGCCUGACCGAGCAACGCCGCGUGAAUGAUGAAGGCCUUCGGGUUGUAAAAUUCUGUUAUAAGGGAAGAACGACUUUAGUAGGAAAUGGCUAGAGUGUGACGGUACCUUAUGAGAAAGCCACGGCUAACUACGUGCCAGCAGCCGCGGUAAUACGUAGGUGGCGAGCGUUAUCCGGAAUUAUUGGGCGUAAAGAGCGCGCAGGUGGUUGAUUAAGUCUGAUGUGAAAGCCCACGGCUUAACCGUGGAGGGUCAUUGGAAACUGGUCGACUUGAGUGCAGAAGAGGGAAGUGGAAUUCCAUGUGUAGCGGUGAAAUGCGUAGAGAUAUGGAGGAACACCAGUGGCGAAG
rnacentral:rRNA from 1 species